CGCUAUUGGGUCUCGCUCCCGGGGUCCCGCGCGCCGGCAGUGCUGAUUGGCCGCUGGGGCUUCAUUCAUGACCCCCACCACCACCGCCCGCGUACACAUUCACGCCCCGGGGGCGCGGCCGCCACGUGGGGAGUGGCGCGGGGGUGGCACUGGGACCGCACCCCCUCCGGUCCCGGCUGCGUGGGCCCCGCUCUCACCGCAGCGCGGGAGACUCGGAGCCCGGUCGGUCCCCACGUUCCACACAAGCUCAAUUUCCGCCUGCAUCCCACUGGGGCGGGCGGGGGAUUGCGGGCUCCGGGAGGCGCUCGGGUUCCGAGCAGAGACUCAGCCCCGCACUCUUCCCUGCGCUGCGCCUCUGCCUGCGGGCCAGGAUCCCGCGAGUCUGGGCUGCAGCGAGAGCGAAGCUGCGUGGCUUCCCGGCUCGGUACCGCGCGGCUGCUAACCUCCGGGGCCUCGCCUCCUGCGGCUGCCAGGUCGCAUCGCGUUCUCCCAAGGUCUUGGUUUUCCCUCUACUCCCUCUAGACUCAGCGCCACAACUAGCUGGACCUCUGCAGUCCUGAAAGUGCAGCAGGCACGGACAGAUUCGGAUCGGCUUGGGCUUCACGCCUCUCGCCGGCUCGCCUUCCUUUCCCUGGGCACCGAGGCCAGAUCCACCAUACUGGUCCCCUCUACUGAUGGCAUCAUUUCCCUCAAGCCCAGGGAACAAGAAGUGACAAGGACUUGGAUGCCCUCGUAGGAGAUAUGUACAUCAAGACACAGGAAAUAAACCCAGCAAAGAUUCAGGAGCCGGCACACCAGUGACACGCUUAGAGGUCUUGCCCACUGAGUUCCCAACCAUGGAGGAAGAAGUAUUGUGCUUGGUUCCCAGACCAUGGCACGGAACCAUCCACACUGGUGGAUCUGACGCUGGCUGGUUGUCUGCCAAGGAGACCCUCAAUUCUGAGUGGCCCAUGGUCACUGGCCCUGGGAAUUUCUUCAGCAUGGCUGCUGACUACAUCAAGCAAGAACCUGUUCCUAAGACAGAGCUUAUAUGAUACAUAGUGAUCAUGAAGUAUGGAGGGACACUGUCACCUUUCCAGAAUAACCCAAGAAGAGCAGUAACUGCCCUCACUGUACCAAUGGAGGAAUGUGAGGUCAAGGAUCCUGGUAGGGGUUCAACAGGGGAAGGCAGGAGCACUGUGGAAUUGGUCAUAGACACCAUGUGAUCCAACACCCAGGGUUGCCAGUGAAGACAAACCUCAGAAGACUCUCAGGACAUGCCCUGGCCCUGUUCCACUUUGCCAGGACACGUGACAACACUGGGUCAUGCAGGUGACUCCAGGACAAGCUCUCUGUGGUAAAGCCAACAGCCGCCGAAGCAUCCCGGUUUGCAGAAGGGUGGUUCCUCCUGCCCUCUGACACUGGCAGGAGACUGCCCUACUCCCCAAACGACCCGACUCACCUUCCAGAAGUGUUCCUGGCUGAUCCAGUCUCACGCUGACUACUCCAUGCCUUCCGGUCACUGUCCAGCCCCUGUGAAACACCAGCAAGCACUCACGCAUCAGACCCUGGAUCAUCCGAAGUCUAACUUAGCGCUCAGGCUGGUGUCUGACAUAUUCUUGAUUCACUGGAACGAGGACUGAAUACUGUCAGUCCCAGCAGUCCUCUGAGGAUGGUUUUAGGAACUCCAUCCUGCAGGAGGGAGGGGCCUGAGAGUGUGUGACACCUGCUCAAAUAACAGUGUCAGAGCCAGGAUUUUGGAUUCUGAGGCCCGAGUUUUUGUUUCGUUGUUUUGUUUUCUCACCAGCGGCCGCCCACCUAGCCACCUGGCAGGCAUUUGGGGGAGAUUCGGAAAUGUUUCCUCUUUGCUGCCAUCCUGUCUAGUAUCUGUGAAACACCCAUCACUCACCAGCUGCAGACAUUCUCCAGAAAGCUUCAGAACACCCUCGCAAAGGUGUCUGCUAUUGCCCCCAUUUUACAGAUGUGGAAGCAGGUUGAAGGAGGCUUCCUAGUAACUGACUGAGCUGCUUCCCGAGCCUCCUGCCAGCACCAUGGAGUGAAGAGCAGUCUGGCCCAGGAUGCUGAGUUGGAUCCACUUAGACAUUCUCCAGCCCCCCCCCCCCCCAGUGCAUCCCUGUCCCUCCAUCCUUGCUGUACAGUGGUCUGCCUUCCUGCUCACAACCAGGCUCGGCAGGAAAAGCAGCCUACUCCUCCAGUUUCCCUGCUUCCUAAACAUUGCUGAUGCCCGAAGGCUGCUCUCAGCUCUUCUCCUGGAGGUUACCACACUGAAUGGAUAGACGUGCCGGCUUUUAGUGAGCAACACAGGCCUUGAUGCCAGUAAAACACGAGGCAUGAUGGAAAGGGACUGGCCAUUGCUUUGGUUUGCAGACAGAGAUCCCAUCAUCUGCAGGAGGAUUUGAGUGUGAUGAAGCCAUUCAUAGGAAGAUCUAGAUGAAGAACAUCCCAUGCUCAGUGAGCAGGAAGUACAAAGGCCCUGGGGUUAGAGAGAACUUUUCCGACUCCAGGAACCAGAGGAGGCUGGCCUUAGCGGUGACAACAGGCAGGAUCUUGGUGACACUUUCUAUUUCCCCGUCAGGAGUCCUUCCAACAUGAAGAUCUAACUCUGAUGGUCUUGGAGACCACAGACCUUCCCUAGCCUGGUCUGGGAGGGAUGCCUGGCAAAUGCUUUCUGGGCUAACGUGAGUUAUUUGAGCACUCGAGUCGCUAGCAGAAGCACUGCGUUAGCGAGUCCCCUUUGUUUGAACAAACAAGAUUAGAAGCAUUGCACUGUUUGUUCUUCCUGGUGAGGCUCUAGCAAAUCCACACUUUGUGGGACUUCUGGCCUCUGGAGGGCCCCUCAGUGUUUUCUAAAAGCAUAGCCCGUGAGAGUUAAAAUUUGAAUAGAUAUCUCUCAAGAGCUGGUCCUGUAUUCCUGUAUUACCUUGAGACAAAUGUUUGUUAAUAUAUAUAUAUAUAUAUAUAUGUAUUCUAGUUGCUAGAAUACAUGUUGUAAAUACUUGCGUUUGAAAAUGUACACUUCCGGGAUGCUUUGUGGGUUCCUGUGCAUGUUCACGUACGACUAGAAAUCUGUUUGUCACAGAUGCUUCCCAGGUCUGGUGGUUGUUUUCUCUAUCCUAAUUAAUCUAUUGAUGUAGAAUUAUGCAUCUUUCCCCAUAAGCCGGGAGUGUAUUUAAAAGCUCAUUUCCUUGCCUGAGAUACAUGCAAAUAAAAGUUAAAGACAAUUGAAA
rnacentral:lncRNA from 1 species